GACGAACCGUGCAAACGUUGUUCGGAAUCACUGGGCUUAAAGGGCGCGUAGGCGGGUUCGUAAGUCUGUGGUGAAAGCCCCCAGCUUAACUGGGGAAGUGCCAUGGAUACUGCGAGUCUUGAGGAGGGUAGGGGCAUCUGGAACACUGGGUGGAGCGGUGAAAUGCGUAGAUAUCAAGCGGAACACCAGUGGCGAAGGCGAGUCCCUGGACAACUCCUGACACUGAGGCACGAAAGCUAGGGGAGCAAACAGG
rnacentral:rRNA from 1 species